AUAGUUUGACAAAGUACUGAAUACUGAGUUCAAGACCGAAAUUGGGAGAGAUUCGCGCUGGCUGGAUGUUAACUACAAGUCGAGCAGAGAACUGAGUCCACCCAUGUGUGGCUCAGUUUCCUCUGGGCUUGCGUUGCCCAGACUGGAGUCAUGGCAGAGUCACCGGAAAGAAAGCACACUCCAAGGGUCCCUGAGCUCUUGCGUUUUCCUCAUGGCUACAAUCGAGGCCUGUGUGUGCCAUGGUGGAAACUUCAGAGGAAAGAUCGGAAACUGAAUCUUGGGAGUCAAAGAGAAAGAAGCCUGCGCUGUGCCCUUGUUUCAGGAGCUCCCGCGAGGCAUCCUCCUCUUGCUGUUGACUCCGUCUGGCACCUGGGUGUUCCAUGGCUGUGUUGUCCUGAACGAUGAAAAAUUGUCAAGAUUGCAAGAAAUUCCAAGUCGCACCAAACUAGGGGAAACUGGAGCCUUUGCCCCCCGUCACCAGCACAUUCUCAUCGAUUCCUUAGCAGAUGUCGCCAGUGCUCACCCGUGCCCCUGUCCCUUGUUCGUGGGUGCCCCCAGGAGACUUCUAACAGUGUCCAGCAAUCUGUACCUGUGGGAUAGCUCCUAGCAAGCUGAGCACGUGGGGCUCCCUGCUCUGAGGGAAGUUCCUUAUAAAAGCCUUGCUCUCCCUCAUGGGCGAGGUUCCCCAAGCAACAUUUCCAGUCCAUGUUCCAGCAGUCUCAUGGGACUGAGCUCCAGGGCCCCGGUGCUGACUGGCCUGCUUGGUCACCUCCCCUUCUCCACACCCAUCCCCGCCCCCUGUAUUUCCUGCACCUCCCAAGCGAACCACCUUCGCCACCUCCUCACCUUGGUGUCUGCUUCUGGGGAGCCCCAACCCCUACUGUGCACAAGGCACUGUGCCAGGAAUUCAUUGUCUGAAGACCCAUUGCAUUCCCAGGCCUCAGACACCGGCGACAGGCUGGCGGGCAGACGUUUGUUGGGAGUUUGGGCGUCUAGUCUUAACAACUUACCUCAUAGAAUUAGUGUGAGGUUUAGGCUUGUAAAACUCUUAAAAUAGUGCCUGGCAUAUAGUAGCAGCGAAGUAAUUAUUAGCUAUUAUAUUUAUUAUUCUGAUGAGCUAAGGCCUUGAGUGUUUAGUAGCUCUUGUUAAAAUAUCAAUUCCAAGCAAAGGGCGCAUGCUUGGCUCUGACGGAGGAAGACAGUCUUUGUGGCCUGACCUUGAGGGAGUGAGACAAAGCAAGGUGAGCCUUACGGGUGGCAGAGGAGGGAAGGGAUGAUUGGCAGGAGGAUGGGAGCCCCAGAACAGCCCAGUGGGGCCUCCCCAGAGACCAGGACUCCCUGUCCUGGGGCUCCAGGCUGCCUGGGUGGAGGGGGCCAUACUAAAGCAGGUGCACCCAAACUUCUGAGUCCAAAGCCUACCCGAGUACAGUGGGAGUGCGGAGGAUCAAACUCACUCGUUUACCCAAUUUUAUCACUUUAAUGCAUUUAUUUAGCACAUUUUAAUUCAAAUCAGAGUUGCAAAGGUCAUGGAGGAGUCCUAGUAGGAGCCCGUGUGUCUGUAAGCAGUGGUGGGAGAUCAGUCAUUGAAAGUGCUUGGGAAGAACAUGUGUGUGUAUCAGACACUGGCGAUGGCUCCUUCUGCCCUGGGAGCCAGGAGAGAGAGGAAGGAGGGACAGCCAGGCCGUGUUUUAACAGACAGCGGACUUUACAGACCACGCUGUCUUCACUUUACCCUGUUUGUUCAGUCUGGUUCAGACCUGGAUGUCCCUGAAGGCCCCAGCUGCUCACGGGCAGGGAUUUCGGAAGGUUAUUGAAUCGUAUGGUUGAUAUAGCUGCUAGGGGAUAAGGUCUGAUGGGGAGAGAAGAGACCCUGGGGCGUAGCCUUGGAGGGUUUGUCUGCCUGUCUGCUGCUGCUUUCUCUCUCUGCUUUCUGAUGGGAAUGACCGACCUCCCUCCACACCCUCCCAUCAUGCAUGGAGCGGGCUAUGACUGAAACUUCUAAAAACCGUGAGCCAACAGAAACCUCCCUCCUUUAGGCUGUAUAUGUGGGCAUGAUGUCCCAUUGACAAAGGUAGACUGCUGUGCCAGGGGAGGGGAGACAUUGCUACAGCUACCUGAUCAUGUGAUUUCAGAAGACUUUAGAGGUGGUUCCUGGGAGGAAUUUGAUAGGUUUGGAAAUGCUGACUGGAGAAUCUUAGAAUUCAAGCUUGAUGGGAGAUUCAGGUCAGACCUCAAAAGACCAGAAUGCAGAUUUUUGAAAAUAGAUGAUAAAGAUCAGGCUCAGGAUGCUUCAGUAGGAAACAGACUCUGCUGGCCAUUGGAUUCCAGGCCAUGUGUUUUCUGUUCAGGCAGAAAAAUUUGUCUACAUUUGUUCAAGUUUCCGAGUCUUUGUGGGAGACUGAGACUGAGCACAGUGGGCUGGUGAAGGAAUGUUCAGGGGAGCCCAGUGUUUAAGUUUGGCAUGGGUACAUUUGGAAGUUUUUAGUCAGAUCUUUGGUAAGAAGCAGUAUCAACAAACAGAGGUAAAUAAUUGAAUGUUUUUCCUGGUGGCUGGGAAGGAAGCAUUUGCAAAGAUGGGGGUCUGUAAAUUCGGGACCUGUAAAGUAUAAGUUAAAGAGAGCUUGGUUGCUAAAAUGAUUCACAUUAGGCAAAAGUACUUAACAUCAGGAUAGUAGGAAGGAUAUCUUGAGGACCUCAUCUUCCUCAAGCUCAAGAGUCCAAAAGCAAAAGACUUUGCUUUAAGAAGAGGGCCUAAGGGAACCCAGCUCAUCCAGUGCCAGCUGAAGAAGGGUUUCUAUGAGCUCAGGCAUCCAAGCACUCAUAAAGUUCUGUAUCUGUGGGUCUGGUUACUACUCAAGCUGACAACAGACGUUGCUGUCAUCCACGUGGCGCUGGCUUAAUAGACAUGCAAAAUGUAAGAAUUGUGGGGUCAAGGAGGCUUCCACCAGGAUUUUAAAAGGCCUUUCAGGCUAAGGCACCAAGCUCCGAGAAGGAGGUAAGGCUCUGAGAGUGAAGCCCAAAGUGCAGAGGAGGCCCCAGGAGAUUAGAAAAGCCCAGAGCAUGGAGUGUUCGCUGAGAGACACUACAGGGCAUGAGCAAGGCCUCCCUGUGAGAGGCCAUGAGGGCUGUAUCUGGCAAUAUCAUAGGUGCAGGGCUGCCCAAGCCCUUUGGGUCAUAUCUCACCCCAGCUUGCCCCGGUGCUGGAUAUGGAGCUACAGGGUUCAGUGUUUGUCCUGCUGGGAUCAGUCUUGCUUUGGUCCCAUUCCUUCUGUAUCCCCUGUGCCUCCCUUUUUGCAAUGAAAAUGUUUGCCUUGUGCCCCUGUAUGUCAGGAUUGUUUAACUUGCUUAAUUUUUAUAGGCACUCACAGCUGAAAAUUUGCCUUGAGACUCAAUAGAGACUUUGGGCUUGGACUUUUCAUCACUGCUGGAACUGUUAAGAUCUGGUGAUUCUCAGAGAUGGAUAAAGUGCAUUUUGCAUAAAGAGGUAUGCACAUCAGGGAAGAAUCUCACGGUUUAGGCUAAGCAUGCCCCCAGGGCCUCUUGCACUCAUGGGCAGGGUCUUUGGAAGGUGCUUGGAUUGUGCAAAUGACAUAGCCAACCUGCUGUUAGGAUGUGGGGCCUGGUGGGAUUAGGCAGCUUACUAUGGGUGAACCCUCAAAGGGUUCAUCUCCCUUCCCAGCUUUGCCCUUCUCUUCUGUUUCCUGGUUGCCAUGAUGAGAGCAGUUUUCUUCCGCCCAGGCCCUUUUCCAUGCCACUGUUGCCUGGCGCUGUCUGUCUAUGGAGUGACAUCUGCAAAUUGUGAACGUCUCCUGUGAGUUGUGGGUGCUGGGUUUCCUGUCCCAGUGACGAGGAAAGUGGCCAAGGCACCCCCGAGUGCUGGGAUGAGGUUGAGCCAUUUCAUCUCUUUGGACUUCAUUUGGGUUCUUUACCUGGAGCUUGAGCUCGUGUCCCUAAACUCACAAGGCUGCAGAGGGGUGGCUGGGGAUGCGUCCCGCAGCAGCUCCUCACAUGGCAAUUUCUUUCCUUCCCACUGAAAGUCUAGCCUGAAAUGAGCAAGAGAUAACUAAGCAAACAGCGCCUCAGCAUAAGGACCACGGGGUUUAUUAACACACAGUUCCCAUGACGUACCAGCCACCCUGGCAGAGGGACCCCAGCACAGGCCACGCGAGAACAUCACCCGGAGGCACGGAGGGUGCUGGGGUGAGCACUGGAGCCGGUGGCCUGGUCCGAACCUCGGCUUCAUUCCUUCUUCAGCACGUGACCUUGGGCAAGUUCCUGAAGGAGCCUCUGCCACGUGGCACCAAAGAUUAAGUGAUAAUCUUACCAGUUCUCACUUCCUAGGGCGGUUUUAAGGAUGAUGUGAGCUCAUAGAGGUGCUUGGCAUACUGUGAAUGGCUUCAGGCGUGGUGAUUCUCUCACCCCGGGCAGGGGAGUUAUCUGACUUGCUUCCUAACUUCUGCAUCUGAAUAGCUAUCACUGAGAAGUCUGGGGUGGGUCCCAGAUGGUCAACAGCUUAGUCUCGGGGAGUCUUGUGUUCUGACUCACGGGAGACACCUGGACUCUGCUCCGUGUUUGGAAGGUUGCUUACUCCGUACACCUGCUGUCACCUGGCUGGGAGGAUGGAAAGUCACCCUGCACAUCUGACUGCCGAGCCCGAGUGUGUCCUUGCCAAUGACAGAAUGAGUUUAAGGAUGGGUGCUCUGACUUCCACGUCCCUUGCUGGGGCGCAAUUCUGGGCUGUUAGCACAGUGACCCCAGCGGGCCGUCUCACUUCCCCGUGCCGUAACUAGCUGAACAACGCACUCCUCCCCACUUCCCUUUCCCCCUUCUCCGUCUCAUGCUCCUAUUUCCCUGCCAGCACGCUGCAGGAUUGCCUGAGAUCCUUCAUUCUGGGUCUCUGUCUGGGGGACCCUCAGACGCUCGUGGACGCGUGCCUCUCUGCAAGUCCAACAGAAGCCAAAUGAAGUGCAAGGUCACACGCUACCUGUGUGCAGUCGCAGCCGUCUAGACAGCCACGCAGGUCCAAGCACAUUUUUGCUUGCCUGAAUUAUUUGGGUUGGCUUCCCCAGGCAGUGCUGGACUCCCUCCAAGAUUCUUCCAGCCCCCGCUUUCCUUUCGUCUUGGAGACUUAACCUCCGAAGCUGGCAGCCUCACAUGGGAACAGCACGGGGUUCUGCGAAGGCCGAACAUGGACUGUGGCUGUGAAUGAACUCAGGGUGGAGAAGCAGCUUUCUCUCUUUCUCUCGCCAAAACAGCGAGGCCGUCCAUCACCUCUGAGCCCAGCGGUGAGGCACUCACUCUUAUUUUCGUGGAAUCAAGGCCAUUGUCACAGGUGAGCUGUGGACACAGGGUGCGUGUCUGUACCUCACAGAAGGGCUCCAAGUUAUUCCCGUGCUCAGCAGAGCUGCUGUGAUUUUUGUGUGCAUGUGAUGCCCCAUCAUUGGGAGGAGUCUGUCGGGCAAGCAGAUGGAGGUCAAUAACACGGAUCUCAAGAUCAGAGGUGGGAGGUUGAUUCCACAACAGGAGCCCCUCCCGCCUCUCUGGUCCCGUCAACAAGAGAGGAAGGGAUAGGAGCCUGCAGCUCAGCACUGCAAAAAAAAAAAUGAGAGAGGCUGGAUUUCAGGAGAGGAAGAAGCCGAUGGCAUAGGAAAUAAAGGAGAGCGAGGACCCAGGGCUUGACUCACACCAAGGACUGAGCUGAACAAGCGCAGGAUCACACCACAUGUCUCCCUCUCUCUCUAUCUCCCUCUCUCCCUCUCUGCCUCUCUUCUCUCUGGCAGAUGAGAUUUGGCCCAAGCUAAUCUGACUCCCAACUUUGAUCUUGCCCAUUUAGAAAGCCAGGCUCAGAACAACCACGAACUGUAACCUUUCUGAUCGCCCUGUGCUGUGUCCAGCAGUGAGCAUCUGUUGUGACCCUGCCACGCUCAGAGGCGCAUGAUGGAUCGCCGAGCAGGCGGCCUCCUGCCUGCGUGCACUGCGACUGUUUUGCCUGCCUGUGUUUUGACUCGCCACAUUCAGUGUUUCAGCACGUGUCUUCUGCAGAGUUUCUGCUUCCCGUUGACCUCCCUCGUCCCUGCGUCCUCCGGCUGGUGACACAGUCGCAGCCUCCCAGCUGGCCUCUCUGCCUGUGGGUCACUGGAAUAAGCUUUGAAACGUGACUUCCACGAUGGCAUCUCUGAGGCAAAAGUUGGUGCCAAGUGUUUCUGCCAUCACUAAGAAGCAGAGAGAGAGGACAGGGAGGAGAGAAGGAGACCCCAAAUCUGAGCCCUGUCCUGCCACAGUCCACUGGGGGAUGCUGGGCAAGUCACCUCUCUCUUUGAGCCUCAGGUUCUGAUUUGUAAAAUGGAAGAAUGCGAUGGGGGCUGAGGGCCCCGGAAGUGGCUCCCCACAGGACCAUUACCCAGUCAUUAAUGCUGUCAUGGUUCCAAGCGCUGGGGAGAGAGCCUCGGAUAAAAACAAGUGUGGCUGUCACUGAGCUCACUUUCCAACAUGGGGACCUGACGCUAAACCCACACGUCGGGCAGGCAGGUGCCAAGCACAAAGGGUAGAUGGGGAAGAAGAGUGGCACUCUAUUAACUGUGCGACCAGAGAGGGACUCCAGGAAUCUGUGGCUUUUCCUCUAAUCAGUCAAAACAAUUCAUCUUGCUUCACGAAGUACUGAAAAUGUUACAGCAGCCACUGAAAGUGAGACAACUCAAAGUUUAGCUUUAAGAGGUCAAAAUCCACACCACAAACACUAAUACAGAAAGCAGAAGACUUGGAUCUGGAAAGCCCAGAUUUACCAAAAGCAAACCGAGCUUUGAUCACGAGGGAACGGAGAGCAGAAUGGAGACUCUGUGUGAGAAUCCGAGCUGCAGGGCAAAGAGGAGCCCAGGACUGAUGGUCACCACACUCGGAGGACAGGGUGAGGGCAGCGUCCCCUGCAGCUGCCUCUUCUAUGAGCAUCGGGCACCAGCAUCAGGCGGGGAAGCCCAUGUCUGAGGAGGUUCCAGCACUGUCCUCUGUCCCUCCACUUCCGCGGGGCUCUCCAGCUAGAAAGACGGCACUCACGCACCAACACUGUGCGGAGUCCCAGUGUCUCUGCCCUACGGGGGCGUGUGUACUGCUUUUAACAACCAAGGAGCCUUUCAAGGGUCUCCUGAAAUAGAUCACCAAUGAGGACGGGAUGUCCUCGAUACUCCGGAAGGAAAUGUCUGUAGGUCUCGGGCAGAUCUGAGACUCAUCCAUCCCCAUUACAAAGAUGUCCUCUGAAUAAACCUUUCUGCCCCUAAAGUGCUUGGGAAGACUUCUGGCUUCACACGCAAAGCAGCAAAGACUAGAAAUUUUCACUCUAAUCUUUCAAGUAAUAAAAUAUUGAGCAAACGGAAGAGGAAAGACUUUUCUUAGACGCAUCAGAGAGCUGAAAUAUGGAGAGCUCCUUGGGGAUCCCAAAGACAGCCACAUGAAGAGCAGUGGAUUAGAGGGAUGGGAGUCAAGCAUCUGUGGCCCUAGGGAUGGACGUCCAGUUCAGUCUGCCCUGUCCAUCUUCCCACAGAGGCCUGGGUACCUUCCAUCCUGUUACCUAUUCCAACAUACCCAACUUUCUACAAAAAGUUACAAAGCAUGCUAAAAAGGCAAGAAAAAAGCUCAUUACAUUAAAAGUCACAUUAAGCAUCUUAGGUACAAAAACCCAAAAUUUUGGAAGUUACCAACAAGGUGAUUGAAGUCACUUCUGCGGUGCUGAAUCUUGAAAUCGUGUGACCUUGGAAACCUGCAGGAAGCUGCCCUUCACUGCUGUGUUCUUUCACCCAGAGACACACGACCCGAGUCCAAUUUGAGGGAAACGUCCUCUGUGACCAUCCCGGGGGAAAGGCUACACCUGACCAAGAUUCUUCAAAACUACCAAGGUCCCCCAAAACAAGAAAAUCUGAGAUACUGGGUGAGAGCAUUAGGGUUGCUGCGUUGGGUCAGCCUGAGAAGUCUAGACGCUGAGCUGGCUCAGCAGUCCUAUCUGGGGUGUAGAGGACGGCCCUCACCACCGCCGGACGCUGUUCAUUGUGUCCACUGGAGACGUUUAGACGGUCAGUAGGCAGAGGGACAUGGUCCUCACUUGGUAAACAUGCUGGCCUGUGCCAGAGGGGGGCACACAGACGGUGUGGACGGUACCCGCAGACCGUAACAGGGAGGGAAAGGCUCGUUCCCCACCUUGGGCUCCUGCUGCUUUGCUGUCUUCCGCCUCCCUGAACAGUUUCCCUGUACCACCCCGCCCUGCCUUGCGCCAGCUGAUUAGGGACUGAAACCUCCCCAACCUGUGAGCUAAAUGAACUUUUCCUGCCUUAAGUUUGGGUGCUGGAUGUCCCAGCGACAAGAGAAAAGUAGCCAAGACGAAGAGGGACAGGGAGAUGUGACUAUUAGAUUAAUGUGGUGCUGUCAAUUAAUGGGAUCCUGGGACAGAAAAAAGACAUUAGGUGAAAACUGGAAAUCUGAAAAAAACAAUGAGCUUUAGUUAGUAAUUAUUUAUGAACACUGGUUCAUUGUUAACAAGAAUACCAGGCAAAUGUCUAAAUGUUAAUAAUAUGGGAAACUGGGUGUAGGGUUUAUGAGAACUCUUGGUACUAUAUUUACAAUUUUCCUGUAAAUCCAAAGCUGUUCUAAAAAUAAGGUAAAAAAAUAUUUGACAACG